rnacentral:lncRNA from 1 species
CGUCCGAGAUGAAAGACAGCCCGGAGGCGGAUGGGCGAAGGCUCGGUGCUCGCACGCGGUGCUGGGCGCACGAAACCGGCGUCGUGGACGUCGUGUGCGCCUCACCGACGACGGGUCUGCGCGUACCGCUGUCGAGGGCGCCCCCACCUGCUGCAGAAGGGGUCGUUUGGGCGAAUUCGUGGGACGAUGGGGGCGACGACGGACGAGGAGUUGGACCUGGACGUAACUUUGAACAAUAACUUGAACGUACACUCACCCACGAUCGUCCACGCGCCGAUAUCGUGCCCAUCGACCUCCAUCCGGGUGGCUGGGGCGGCCUUCUCCCCUCCGAGGGCGUGGACGGAAUAAAGUAAAUUAAAUAGCUCCGAAACCGGAAGCCGGCAUCGUGGCGCGCGGGCCCGUGGUGAACGUUCCCCCGACCGGACGAAGGCCACGCGGCUCACCCAUAGUUCCGAUAGUCUUGACCCGGGCAAUCGGCUGGCGAAAAUACGUCGCGUGUCGCGCACGGCGCGGGCGUUUGUCGUCGAUUUCCGGUUUUCACGG